rnacentral:lncRNA from 1 species
CAGAUCUCUGUCUUUUAGCACUCCAGGCAACUUUCUUAGAGAAAAUAUAAAUGGCAGAGCAGAUGUCAAUCUGCCUCCAGAAGAAACCUCCCUCCUGGGAGUUCUAUUUACCAGGAAAUUCACAAGUCUUGCCAUUUAAAAAUCAUUUCACCCUUAAGGGUUGGAAGCAAGUCUUAAACAUAAGAAGAGAGAUAAGACUAGAAGUGAAGGGGAGAGUAGGAAACUAGUCCAGAAAUGUUUAGAGUAAGGCCAAUGAAUGAGAAAGACAUACAUCCUCAACUUUGUUAUUUUUGACUAGGCCCAUCAGAUUGACCAUGGCAAGAGCUUUCUGGGCUAAGUUUUGGAGUCUUGCAUUCUUGCAAAAGGUAUCCUUUCCCACCCAUAACAUUUUGAUGCCCAAUGUUUUUGGCUCUCCUGAAAGCUACUCCUGUACUCUGGAUGGUCCACGAGGACACAGCUUCUCAGCCUUAAUUGAAGUUUGGAUCUUGAACUUGGAAUAGCUCAAAGCUCUCCUGAAUUUUCCCCAGAAUCUGGAGUAAAGAAAUUCAUCUGUAAAAUAUUGUUACUCAAGUGUUUAUGGAUGUUAUAGUUAAUGUGUACUUUGCAAAAGAAUAUUCUUUAACAGAAACAUCACAUACCAACUCUGCAAACAACUCAGGAAUCCAAUUUCCUAAAGGGAUCUAUUCCUGUCAGAAGAUGAUUUCUGAAGAUGGAGUCUGUUGGCUAAAAUACCCAUAUGCAGAUGUGUAAUGCCAAUCGGUGUAGUACUGUAUUGUAUUAUUCUCUGUUUCUAUCUGAUGUUCUAGUUUCUGCCCUAGUCCUGGUUUCUGCACUUCUAUCUUAGGGGCUGACUCUCCCCUUGUGACCUGUCUGCCCAUCAGGGGAAGCAGUUGCUGGACAUCCUUCACAUCUCCAAGCAGGUUCCCAGCUACCUAGGACCCAGGAAUUCACUGAGGACAAGUCCCUAAGACCCUGUGCCCAAAGCCUUUCCUUCCCUGCUAUCUUAACCCCUUUUACUUUAGCUCUUAACUUCCUGACCAUAACUUUCUUUCCUUAAAUUUUGGGUCUUCUUCUAUGUUUUAAAUCAUGCAUGCCCAGCCAGCUGGACAUAUAAUUCUUUGAUUCAACUUGGGGAAGCAGUAGCCAAAGUGGGUCCCUCUAACUGUUGGGUCGGUAUGAAGCACCCCCAAAGUGGAGAGAACCCCAGGCCUCUAGCCCAAUGGUCUCAGUGCCUCUGAGGUAUAUCCAAGACCCGAGGCUUUAAGGAGAUUGGCAACCACUUCAGUUUUUGCUACUCCCCUGUGGGAUAUGUGGACCUUGUAUUUGUAACCCUGUCAUCUCUAGUUGCUUCUACGGUAAAAGCACUCAUGGGAGUCACCCAGAUGCCAAAUGCCACCAUAACCAUCCCAGCCUGAUGCUCUGUACACGGCCUACAGUCAAUACCUCUCUCUCUCUCCUAAUGGAUAGGUAGGGACAACUCUACGCCCAUUCUCAGCUGUG